AUGAUGCAUUUUUAGCUCCUUCUGUAGGAAUUGGUGUACUAGAGCUGUGCUUUCCAAAAUUAAAUGAAAUUAAAAACCCAGUUCCUCAAUCACACUAAGCCACCUUUCAGGUACUCAAUAGCCAUAUGUGGCUGGUGGCUAUCAUAUUGGACAGCAUGUACAGAGAAUGUUUCCAUCAUUGCAGAAAGUUCCACUGGACAGCAUUUGCUCUAGAAUUUGUCCAAUAGGACAACUAGCACAGUAUGAGAGGGAGAGAUAGAGACAGAGGAAGUCUGAGCAGAAAUGGGUAGGCGGCAUGGAUUUUUUUGUUUCUGCAGAUCCUGCUUGGCCAACUGGAUUCAAGGAUGGCUACCACACUCGACCCCCUCCCUGCUAACAUCCAUGCUGGGAAGCUUCUCUAGAAACAGCAUUUUUUCACCAUGAGGUCAAGGAGCCUGGAGGCUGACUCCAACAGAGCAGGCUGAGACCAGGUAGGUUUAAACACUCUGAGGAAGGCAGUGCAAGAACAGCAGUGUUUCCUGGGCUGCGGAGGCCUGGCCACACCUGGCUUUAACUGACUUGCUUCACAGUCAUCAUUCCCCACUGGGUACCGGAGGCACUGGGCUGGGCGUUUUGCUCCAUCCUCACCCCCACCGGGAAAAGCUGAUGGUAUCCCUGUUUUAUAGACCACAAAUGGUCAAGUUACUUUCCAAGGUCAUAGAGCAAAGUGACUAUGUGGUGGUGCUGGCGCUCAAGUUGCUUACAGACCCUGGGAGGGACUAAUUUGUGCAAACCACUGGCAGCUCUGGGCAGAAUGAAGUCGACAGACCUGGACCUGGAGAGCCUCGGACAAGUGAAAUGGCAGAGACUGGCUAUUGUGCCUUUGGAGGGGAUUACUUUGAAUGGUCUGGAAAAGCUGAGAGGACACCAGGUCUGAUCCCUGUCCCCAGCCUACACUGUGAUGUCAUGGUUGGUAUAUUCUUAGUUAUCUCUUUCUUCCCUGGGACUCAUAGCCUACUUUUGCUCCCUUUUAAGUUAAAAACUAAACCUUAAUUAUACAGAGAGAAU
rnacentral:lncRNA from 9 species